rnacentral:rRNA from 1 species
UACGGAGGGGGCCAGCGUUGUUCGGAAUCAUUGGGCGUAAAGGGCGCCUAGGUGGCCAAGCAAGUCGGAUGUGAAAGCCCUCGGCUCAACCGGGGAAUUGCACCCGAUACUGCCUGGCUCGAGUCCUGGAGAGGGUAGCGGAAUUCCCAGUGUAGCGGUGAAAUGCGUAGAUACUGGGAGGAACACCGGUGGCGAAGGCGGCUACCUGGACAGGUACUGACACUGACGCGCGAAAGCGUGGGGAGCAAAC